UUGCUUUGGCAGCACACAUACUAAAGUUGGAAUGAUACAGAGAAGAUUAGCAUGGCCCCUGUGCAAGGAUGACAUACCAAUUCAUUAAGCAUUCUGUAUUUUC